GGCGGUUCGCCGCCGGCGACGUCGCGAGAAGUUCACUGAACCUUAUCAUUUAGAGGAAGGAGAAGUCGUAACAAGGUUUCCGUAGGUGAACCUGCGGAAGGAUCAUUGUCGAAACCUGCAAAGCAGAGCGACCAGAGAACGUGUUUAUCAUAAAAGGGGUUGUGGCGAAAGCCCCUUCCCCAAGCUGGUGAGGUGCUCCGCCUCGGCGGGGUGCCCUUCUGGCACAAUAACAAACCCGGCGCGGUCUGCGCCAAGGAACAUGGAUACAAGCGUGCCCUUCUGUAGCCGGUUUGCCGGUUGCAGAGGUGGCACCAAGUCGUAUAUAACAUUAAACGACUCUCGGCAACGGAUAUCUCGGCUCUCGCAUCGAUGAAGAACGUAGCGAAAUGCGAUACUUGGUGUGAAUUGCAGAAUCCCGUGAACCAUCGAGUCUUUGAACGCAAGUUGCGCCCGAAGCCUUUAGGUCGAGGGCACGCCUGCCUGGGCGUCACGCAUCGCGUCUCCCCCCCACCCACCUCGAGUGGGAGGGGCGGAGGAUGAUGGCCUCCCAUGCCUCACCGGGCGUGGAUGGCCUAAAUACGGAGCCCCCGGUUACAAAGUGCCGCGGCGAUAGGUGGUAGACAAGGCCUAGCCUAGGAUGCAUCGUAGUCGCGCACAUUGUAGCUCUUGAGGACUCGUAGGACCCUUAGUUGUUCGCCCUUAGGGGCGGCAAAACCGUUGCGACCCCAGGUCAGGCGGGGCUACCCGCUGAGUUUAAGCAUAUCAAUAAG
rnacentral:rRNA from 1 species